AUGAAAUGCAGGAAGGAAUUGGCACCCAUACACUUGCUUAAGGAUCCAUCAUAUGACGAAAAUGAAGAUGGAAAUGAAGCUUCGAUUUACACAGCACAGGAUUGCAGUCCUGAUUUAAGACUGGAAUUAGAGAUAGUGAGCCGCAGUCCUGAUUUAAGACUGGAAUUAGAGUUAGAGAACCGACAGCCUGGAGUUGGCAUCAGACCCCGAGAAAUUUAUAAGUGCUUGAUACAACAAAACCACACACAGCAAGAGGCUCCAGUAGGCACAUUGGAAGAUGACGUUAUAGUCAGCCCUAUACGUUCGAAUAGAAGUGACGGAAUUAACUAUGUUGUUAAUUACUAUGAAGACUAUGAAUAUAAGUUAUGUUUCCCACCCUUCCCUCUUAAGCAGAGAAAGUCCUUUGUUCCAUGGAAUAUCCGGCUGCCUGGUCGUUGGUACUAAAGAAGUUAGUCUGAUGGAAAUGUGUCGCCCUAUUAUUUCAAGAUGUCUGAUGACGGCUGGCUCCAUUUCGAUCUUGGUACACUAUAAUAUAAAGGACCGUCUUGCUUUAUGCCGUAUGGGAGCGAGUUGCAUAUUUUUGAGCAGGAAGUCGAAGCCCACUAUGCAAGACGGUUCCUUGUACUAAAGGUAUGUAUCAUAUCGGAUGCAUACAAUUAUAAUGCCCAGUUUAUUCAUGUGGUCAGCUUGCCAAAUUUAAGGAUAGCUGGAAGAAUGUGAUGUGCUUGGUGCUGUAUGCCAUUUGAUAUACGUUGUUUUGGGAGAAAGAAAUAUGUACAGCAUCCAGAAUAUAAACAGUCUGGCCCAGAGUUCUGCACGAUUAUACUGGACCAUUAAUACUUAUAUAUUAUUUUUCUUCUGCAUAACAGAGCACCUGCUUUUACAAAUUCAUGCUUUAAAUAAAUGGCCACCUUGUAUUUGCAUACUGAUCAUGUAAUAUAAUGGCAUUAAUGUUUUUAAAUCCAUGAGCUGUCUUAUAAGCAAGCACAGACAAUCACAAAUACUCUUUGUUGGUGGAUUAGACUUUACAGUCACGAGCCUGUGCUAAAGAUAUUUGGAAAUUCAGUUAUAUUGACUUUUAAAGUCUGUGAAUAAUAUGCUUCAAGAAGGA